AGUGAACGCUGGCGGUAGGCCUAACACAUGCAAGUCGAACGGCAGCACAGUAAGAGCUUGCUCUUACGGGUGGCGAGUGGCGGACGGGUGAGGAAUACAUCGGAAUCUACUUUUUCGUGGGGGAUAACGUAGGGAAACUUACGCUAAUACCGCAUACGACCUACGGGUGAAAGCAGGGGAUCUUCGGACCUUGCGCGAUUGAAUGAGCCGAUGUCGGAUUAGCUAGUUGACGGGGUAAAGGCCCACCAAGGCGACGAUCCGUAGCUGGUCUGAGAGGAUGAUCAGCCACACUGGAACUGAGACACGGUCCAGACUCCUACGGGAGGCAGCAGUGGGGAAUAUUGGACAAUGGGCGCAAGCCUGAUCCAGCCAUACCGCGUGGGUGAAGAAGGCCUUCGGGUUGUAAAGCCCUUUUGUUGGGAAAGAUAAGCAGCAGGUUAAUACCCCGCUGUUCUGACGGUACCCAAAGAAUAAGCACCGGCUAACUUCGUG
rnacentral:rRNA from 1 species